rnacentral:rRNA from 1 species
GACGAACGCUGGCGGCGUGCUUAACACAUGCAAGUCGAACGGAAAGGCCUGCUUUCCCUUGUGGAUUGCGGGUACUCGAGUGGCGAACGGGUGAGUAACACGUGAGUGAUCUGCCCCCAACUUGGGUAUAAGCCUGGGAAACUGGGUCUAAUUCCCGAUAGGACUGCAGGGUGGUGCCUGUGGUGGAAAACGAUUUUCUAGUGGUUGGGGAUGAGCUCGCGGCCUAUCAGCUUGUUGGUGGGGUAAUGGCCUACCAAGGCGGCGACGGGUAGCCGGCCUGGGAGGGUGGACGGCCACAUUGGGACUGAGAUACGGCCCAGACUCCUACGGGAGGAAGCAGUGGGGAAUAUGGCCCAAUGGGCGGAAGCCUGAUGCAGCGACGCCGCGUGGGGGAUGACGGCCUUCGGGUUGUAAACUCCUUUCGACCGCGAGGAAGCCACCUGGUUGGAAGGGUGGUGACGGUAGUGGUAGAAGAAGCACCGGCUAACUACGUG